rnacentral:lncRNA from 1 species
GCGGCAGGGAAUAAAAAAAUCGGACGUUUUUAUACUACAAAUGUGCAUACCCGACCGAUUCCCGAUUAUCACUACGACCCAUAUACGAUCAGGUCGAUAUGGUCUGGUCGAGAUCAGGCUGAGAUCGUGAAUAGUUGAUUUGGUCUAGCUAGUCGAGUAAAGAUCGUGUAAAGAUCGUGUAAAUUGAUCGGAAUUAUCGAAUAAGUAUUCAUUUUGUUGUCGGGAUGGAGUCAAGAUGGAGUCAUUAAGGAGUCGUGAAUGGUCGAGUUAAGGUCGUGUACCGUCGGAUGGCAGUCGGGUAGAA